rnacentral:rRNA from 1 species
AUUGAACGCUGGCGGCAGGCCUAACGCAUGCAAGUCGAACGGUAACAGGAAGCAGCUUGCUGCUUCGCUGACGAGUGGCGGACGGGUGAGUAAUGUCUGGGAAACUGCCUGAUGGAGGGGGAUAACUACUGGAGACGGUAGCUAAUACCGCAUAACGUCGCAAGACCAAAGAGGGGGACCUUAGGGCCUCUUGCCAUCGGAUGUGCCCAGAUGGGAUUAGCUAGUAGGUGGGGUAACGGCUCACCUAGGCGACGAUCCCUAGCUGGUCUGAGAGGAUGACCAGCCACACUGGAACUGAGACACGGUCCAGACUCCUACGGGAGGCAGCAGUGGGGAAUAUUGCACAAUGGGCGCAAGCCUGAUGCAGCCAUGCCGCGUGUAUGAAGAAGGCCUUCGGGUUGUAAAGUACUUUCAGCGGGGAGGAAGGGAGUAAAGUUAAUACCUUGGCUCAUUGACGUUACCCGCAGAAGAAGCACCGGCUAACUCCGUG